CAUGCAAGUCGAGCGGCAGCGGGAAAGUAGCUUGCUACUUUUGCCGGCGAGCGGCGGACGGGUGAGUAAUGCCUGGGAAAUUGCCCAGUCGAGGGGGAUAACAGUUGGAAACGACUGCUAAUACCGCAUACGCCUACGGGGGAAAGCAGGGGACCUUCGGGCCUUGCGCGAUUGGAUAUGCCCAGGUGGGAUUAGCUAGUUGGUGAGGUAAUGGCUCACCAAGGCGACGAUCCCUAGCUGGUCUGAGAGGAUGAUCAGCCACACUGGAACUGAGACACGGUCCAGACUCCUACGGGAGGCAGCAGUGGGGAAUAUUGCACAAUGGGGGAAACCCUGAUGCAGCCAUGCCGCGUGUGUGAAGAANGCCUUCGGGUUGUAAAGCACUUUCAGCGAGGAGGAAAGGUCAGUAGCUAAUAUCUGCUGACUGUGACGUUACUCGCAGAAGAAGCACCGGCUUACUCCGUGCCAGCAGCCGCGGUAAUACGGAGGGUGCAAG
rnacentral:rRNA from 1 species